UCGGUCAUCGGGGGGCGCUCCUUCGCCUCAAGGUGCUCCAGGACAGCGCUGUCCCGACUGCGCCGAUCGUAUCGGCGUGACCGGCC
rnacentral:tRNA from 1 species